CCGAGUUUACAACUCCCAAACCCCUGUGAACAUACCACUUGUUGCCUCGGCGGAUCAGCCCGCUCCCGGUAAAAACGGGACGGCCCGCCAGAGGACCCCUAAACUCUGUUUCUAUAUGUAACUUCUGAGUAAAAACCAUAAAUAAAUCAA
rnacentral:misc_RNA from 1 species